UACGGCUACAUCACCUUGAAGCACCGGAUCCCUUACGAUCACCAACGUUAAACGCCGUCUAGUCUUGUCGUUACCUUGAUGGGUAACCGCUUGAGAAUUCUCGGUGCUGUAAU